GACGAACGAUGGCGGCGUGCUUAACACAUGCAAGUCGAACGAUGAAGCCGGAGCUUGCUCUGGUGAAUUAGUGGCGAACGGGUGAGUAACACGUGAGUAACCUGCCCUUGACUCUGGGAUAACUGCUAGAAAUGGUAGCUAAUACCGGAUACGACCCUCGGAGGCAUCACCAGGGGGUGGAAAGAAUUUCGGUCAAGGAUGGACUCGCGCCCUAUCAGCUAGUUGGUGAGGUAACGGCUCACCAAGGCGACGACGGGUAGCCGGCCUGAGAGGGUGACCGGCCACACUGGGAAGGAGACACGGCCCAGACUCCUACGAGAGGCAGCAGUGGGGAAUAUUGCACAAUGGGCGCAAGCCUGAUGCAGCAACGCCGCAUGAGGGAUGACGGCCUUCGGGUUGUAAACCUCUUUUAGUAGGGAAGAAGCGAAAGUGACGGUACCUGCAGAAAAAGCACCGGCUAACUGCGUGCCAGCCGCCGCCGUAA
rnacentral:rRNA from 1 species